rnacentral:tRNA from 1 species
GGCAGCGUGGCCGAGUGGUCUAAGGCGCCGGUUUUAGGCACCGGUCUCAUCGAGGCGUGGGUUCGAAUCCCACCGCUGUCA